CUUCUUGCUACACCCUCACGACUAAUGACAGUGCUUACUCCCUUAAGGACUCUCAUUAGCCGCGCGAGUCACUGUAGCGGAAGAGAUUCAAAUUUCAGAAACGGUAUAACGUCUCUCAAUUCCGUUUCCUAGAAGAAAAGGGGCCCGAUUAGGCCCCUUUCC
rnacentral:sRNA from 1 species